GACGAACGUUGGCGGCGUGCCUAACACAUGCAAGUCGAGCGAAUGAAGUUCCUUCGGGAAUGGAUUUAGCGGCGGACGGGUGAGUAACACGUGGGCAACCUGCCUCAUAGAGGGGAAUAGCCUCCCGAAAGGGAGAUUAAUACCGCAUAAGAUUGUAGUACCGCAUGAUACAGCAAUUAAAGGAGCAAUCCGCUAUGAGAUGGGCCCGCGGCGCAUUAGCUAGUUGGUGAGGUAAUGGCUCACCAAGGCGACGAUGCGUAGCCGACCUGAGAGGGUGAUCGGCCACAUUGGGACUGAGACACGGCCCAGACUCCUACGGGAGGCAGCAGUGGGGAAUAUUGCACAAUGGGGGAAACCCUGAUGCAGCAACGCCGCGUGAGUGAUGACGGCCUUCGGGUUGUAAAGCUCUGUCUUCAGGGACGAUAAUGACGGUACCUGAGGAGGAAGCCACGGCUAACUACGUG
rnacentral:rRNA from 1 species